AGAACUCUGCGGUUUUGUGGAGCUCGAGAGUCCGGGACAAGGUAGACGCAGGAUAUUGACCUUUUUAUUUUUAACUGCAUUUUCAGUUUGGAGGUUGUAAAAUAGGUAUAACAUUUAAGAAAAAAAAUUGAAAGAUAUCUAUUGGAUGCUGAUGAUUAUGAAACAAAGUAGCAAAGAUAAGAAGCCAUUUGCUCAUUCUGCUCCUUUGCCAGCAAUAUUUCACAAAGCCCCUGACUCAUUGACUGUGAGCAGCCUUGUGGAAGAAUGCCUUGAAGACCAUAAGCAGGAUAGGGAAUAGGUUUGCACAUCUCUUGCCUGAAUCACUGAAUUUUUACAAAAGAUGUAACUUCAUACCCACACUUUGAUGAGACUUUACUUGUAUUAACCCAUUUUCAUACUGCUAUGAAGAAAUACCCAAGACUGCAUAAUUUCUAAAGAAAAAGGCUUAGUGGACUCACAGUUCCACAUGGCUGGGGAAGCCUCACAAUCAUGGUAGAAGAUGAAGAAGGAGCAAAGGCACAUCUUACAUGGCAGCAGGUGAGAGAGCAUGUGCAGAGGAACUACCCUUUAUAAAACCAUCAGAGGCCAGGUGCAGUGGCUCACACCUGUAAUCCUAGCACUUUGGGAGGCCGAGGCAGGCAGAUCAUCUGAGGUCAGGCAUUCAAGACCAGCCUGGCCAACAUGGCAAAACCCCAUGUUUCAAAAUUAGCUCAGUGUGGGGGCACAUGCCUGUAAUACCAGCUACUAGGGAGGCUGAGGCAGGAGAAUCGCUUGAACCUGGGAGGCAGAGGUUGCAGUGAGCCAAGAUCACGCUACUGUACUCCAGCCUGGGCAACAGAGCCAGACUUUGUCUCAAAAAAUAAAAUGAAAUAAAAUAAAAAUAAAUAAAUAGAUAGAUAAAUAAAACCA
rnacentral:lncRNA from 1 species